rnacentral:rRNA from 1 species
UACGAAGGUCCCAAGCGUUAUCCGGAUUUAUUGGGUUUAAAGGGUGCGUAGGAGGGCAGGGAAGUCAGUGGUGAAAUCUCCGGGCUUAACUCGGAAACUGCCGUUGAUACUCUCUGUCUUGAAUACCGUGGAGGUGAGCGGAAUAUGUCAUGUAGCGGUGAAAUGCUUAGAUAUGACAUAGAACACCAAUUGCGAAGGCAGCUCACUACACGCAUAUUGACUCUGAGGCACGAAAGCGUGGGGAUCAAACAGG